rnacentral:lncRNA from 10 species
UUCCAGUUAUGUUGCUCUCCUCCCCGCAGCCCCAGGCGGCAGCUUCGCGGCCCGGCGUCCGGUCCCCCGGUGGUCCCGGAGCGAAGCUCCGCAAUGGAGAGCGGAGGACCCUCCCUCCCCGACCUCGCACGACCAAGACCGCCCACCUUUCCCCCAACGCCCGGCUGUGGGAGCCGUUCGAGUCUUCUCCGCCAGGGCGCUCCUUCCCGGGAGGCCGCUUCUUUGGGGGAAUAAGGUCAAGGAUUACGGGAUUUGGGGAAGCAAGCUCGGCUGGGCCAGGAUUGCUUGCGUAGCUCGCUGGAAUCUAAGGCACUAGAGGGCUUGACGGCCACGUGAGGACGAACCACGCAGGCGCAGCCCCGCGCCCCGGGCAAGGACUUCCGGCAAGCCCCAAAGGGGAGCGUGCACCGCGAUGACGUCCUCAAGGCGCGCCACGUCCGCCCGGCGGCGCAGCUGCCCAGCGCAACCUCGGCCCCGCCUCGAUAGCCCCGGACCCCUGCCCCGCCCGACCCCGCCCCGCCACGGGAGCGCGCCACUCGCCCGCGCAGCAACGGCCUCAAUAGCGCCAGGCCCGCGUCUACAAGAAGCCCGACCAAGGCCGGCGUGGGCGAGGCCUGGCUAGACGCUGACGCACCGCUGGAGCUACUGACCUCGGGACGACUGGCGGACGGUCGCGGGCCUGGAGACCCAGAGCGAGACGGCCUACUUCGUUCUCGAGCCAGCAGAACGGGUUGAACGUGUCGACAACCCCACCCGCCAGUCAGCGGCGCGGGCGUGUUCGAGCCGGCUCGUGGGCGUGGUCAGGUGCGUGGGCGGGGACUACUGGGCGGGGCUCGGCGCGGGGGCGGGGCCUGGCGGGAGUAGUCUCGGGGUCGGGGCGGGGCCCGGCGGGCGGGGCUCGGCUAAGCACAGUCUUGGCGCAGCGGCGGGGCCUGGUGGGGCGUGGCUCGGUGAGGGAGGUCUCGCUUGGGGGCGUGGUCUCCCCCAGUAGGCGGGGCUUGGUGCCGGGGGCGGGGUCUGGCGGGCGCGGGCGCGUGUGCGUGUUGUGGGCCUCGCACUGGCACGCAAGUCUCAGCAAUUCCUGAGAAUCCUCGGAGGAAGAGGCCGGGGCCCGGUGCGGCAGCGCCUUGGGGGCGGAAUCGCAGGCGCGGGUCGGGCCUUGCUGGGGCGCGGGGCGCGGCCCCCGGAGAAAGCGGCCGCCUCGGGACAGGAGGGACCCGGGAGAAACCCCCCUGGGGCGGCUCCGCAUGUCGGGGUCGCGACUCUAGGCGACCUUGGUAGAGGGGCUCGUUUGCGCCGAGCUCGCGACCCCCGAGGGAGCCACGGCCCCGUGAACCACGCUGCCCGUCCUGGCCACUGGCUGCCGCCUUUGUUUCGUGGGACCCCAGCCCGCAAGGCCUGCGGAGCCGCGGCCUCGUCCCGAGUGUUCUGAGCGCGGUCCGAGCUGCUCCUGCGUCCACUCUGCUGCCGACACCCGAGCGUCGCCUGGAGCCCUGGCACUGAGGGGCGCAGGCCGAGUUCCAGACCAGCCUGGGAAACGCAAAGCGACCCCACCUCCACAAAAGUGGGUUUUCUUUAAGUUUUUGACUAGUCCGCAAUUCACAGAAUUGACAUUUUGGCAGAUGAAGAUUGCAAGUAAGGAAACUAACGGUAUCUCAGAUUUGUUCUUUAGCAAUUUGCUAAACCUCUCCUCUGACUGCCUUUAUUAGGUAUUUGUUUUCGAGACAGGGUCUCACUCCACUGCUUAGGCUGUACUGCAGUGGCGCGAUCCCAGCUCGCUGCAGCCUCCACCUCCCGGACUCCAGUGAUCCUCCCGCCUCAGCCUCCCAAGUAGCUGGUACCACAGGCGCCAGCACGCCUGGCUAAUUGUUGUAUUUUAUGUAGAGAAGAGGUCUCCCUGUGUUGCCCAGCCUGGUCUUGAAUUGGGCUCAAGUGAUCCUCCUGCUUCAGCCUCCCAUAUCGCUGGGAUUACAGGUGUGAGCCACUGUGCCCAGCCUAUUAUUAUUAUUAUUUAUUGUUUUUUUGGUCUUGAGGGAGGGUAGGGUGGUGGGAGCCCAGUUGGGGAGGGAGUGAGGAGUGGUCAAUAAAGUAUUUUAAAUUGAGGC